UGGUGGAGUGAUUUGUCUGGUUAAUUCCGUUAACGAACGAGACCUCGACCUGCUAACUAGUGCACCGCACGUUUCGAUGUGCGUUUGUGUUUCACUUCUUAGAGGGACACUCGGUGUGUAGCCGAGCGAAGUUCGAGGCAAUAACA
rnacentral:rRNA from 1 species